rfam:Homo sapiens chromosome 14, GRCh38 reference primary assembly.
GCUGGGCAUGGUGGCGCAUGCCUGUAAUCCCAGCUGCUUGGGAGGCUGAGGCACAAGAAUCGCUUGAGCACAGGAGGUGGAGGUUGCAGUGAGCUGAGAUCACACCACUGCACUCCAGCCUGGGCAGCAGAGCGAGACUCUGUCUCAA